rnacentral:rRNA from 1 species
GGGUGCGACCAUACCAACACUAAUGCACUGGAUCCGAUCAAAACUCCACAGUUAAGCGUGCUCGGGAAAGAGGGGAAGGCCUCGUGUUGCACCCC